rnacentral:rRNA from 1 species
AGAGUUUGAUCCUGGCUCAGGAUGAACGCUAGCUACAGGCUUAACACAUGCAAGUCGAGGGGCAGCGGGAUUGAAGCUUGCUUCAAUUGCCGGCGACCGGCGCACGGGUGAGUAACGCGUAUCCAACCUUCCGUACACUCAGGGAUAGCCUUUCGAAAGAAAGAUUAAUACCUGAUGGUAUGAUGAGAUUGCAUGAUAUCAUCAUUAAAGAUUUAUCGGUGUACGAUGGGGAUGCGUUCCAUUAGGUAGUAGGCGGGGUAACGGCCCACCUAGCCAACGAUGGAUAGGGGUUCUGAGAGGAAGGUCCCCCACAUUGGAACUGAGACACGGUCCAAACUCCUACGGGAGGCAGCAGUGAGGAAUAUUGGUCAAUGGACGAGAGUCUGAACCAGCCAAGUAGCGUGAAGGAUGAAGGUCCUACGGAUUGUAAACUUCUUUUAUAAGGGAAUAAACCCUCCCACGUGUGGGAGCUUGUAUGUACCUUAUGAAUAAGCAUCGGCUAACUCCGUGCCAGCAGCCGCGGUAAUACGGAGGAUGCGAGCGUUAUCCGGAUUUAUUGGGUUUAAAGGGAGCGCAGACGGGUCGUUAAGUCAGCUGUGAAAGUUUGGGGCUCAACCUUAAAAUUGCAGUUGAUACUGGCGUCCUUGAGUGCGGUUGAGGUGUGCGGAAUUCGUGGUGUAGCGGUGAAAUGCUUAGAUAUCACGAAGAACUCCGAUUGCGAAGGCAGCACACUAAUCCGUAACUGACGUUCAUGCUCGAAAGUGUGGGUAUCAAACAGGAUUAGAUACCCUGGUAGUCCACACGGUAAACGAUGGAUACUCGCUGUUGGCGAUAUACUGUCAGCGGCUUAGCGAAAGCGUUAAGUAUCCCACCUGGGGAGUACGCCGGCAACGGUGAAACUCAAAGGAAUUGACGGGGGCCCGCACAAGCGGAGGAACAUGUG